UACGUAGGGUGCAAGCGUUAAUCGGAAUUAUUGGGCGUAAAGAGCUCGUAGGCGGUUUGUCGCGUCUGCUGUGAAAACUGGGGGCUCAACCCCCAGCCCUGCAGUGGGUACGGGCAGGACUAGAGUGCGGUAGGGGAGAUUGGAAUUCCUGGUGUAGCGGUGGAAUGCGCAGAUAUCAGGAGGAACACCGAUGGCGAAGGCAGAUCUCUGGGCCGUAACUGACGCUGAGGAGCGAAAGCAUGGGGAGCGAACAGG
rnacentral:rRNA from 1 species